GACGAAGGAUGCAAGCGUUAUCCGGAUUCAUUGGGUUUAAAGGGAGCGUAGGUGGCCUGCUAAGUCAGCGGUGAAAUCUCUGGGCUUAACCCAGAAAUUGCCAUUGAUACUGGUGGGCUUGAGUGCAGUUGCUGUUGGCGGAAUAUGACAUGUAGUGGUGAAAUACAUAGAGAUGUCAUAGAACACCGAUUGCGAAGGCAGCUAACAAAACUGUAACUGACACUGAGGCUCGAAAGCGUGGGGAGCGAACAGG
rnacentral:rRNA from 1 species